rnacentral:ncRNA from 1 species
GUCACGCCAGUGGCACCGCCGGUUGGCUGCGUUCGGAAGGGAUAACCGCUGAAAGCAUCUAAGCGGGAAGCCCGCUCCAAGAUAAGUAUUCCCUGGCUCUUCGGAGCCGUGACCCCCCAUGUAGAACACGUGGUCGAUAGGCCGGACGUGGAAGCCCCGCGAGGGGUGGAGCCGACCGGUACUAACGGGGAAGCGCGACACACAC